GGAUGAACGCUGGCGGCGUGCUUAACACAUGCAAGUCGAACGAUGAAGCCCAGCUUGCUGGGUGGAUUAGUGGCGAACGGGUGAGUAACACGUGAGUAACCUGCCCUUAACUCUGGGAUAAGCCUGGGAAACUGGGUCUAAUACCGGAUAGGAGCGUCCACCGCAUGGUGGGUGUUGGAAAGAUUUAUCGGUUUUGGAUGGACUCGCGGCCUAUCAGCUUGUUGGUGAGGUAAUGGCUCACCAAGGCGACGACGGGUAGCCGGCCUGAGAGGGUGACCGGCCACACUGGGACUGAGACACGGCCCAGACUCCUACGGGAGGCAGCAGUGGGGAAUAUUGCACAAUGGGCGCAAGCCUGAUGCAGCGACGCCGCGUGAGGGAUGACGGCCUUCGGGUUGUAAACCUCUUUCAGUAGGGAAGAAGCGAAAGUGACGGUMCCUGCAGAAGAAGCACCGGCUAACUAC
rnacentral:rRNA from 1 species